AACGACGCUGGCGGCAGGCUUAACACAUGCAAGUCGAGCGCCCCGCAAGGGGAGCGGCAGACGGGUGAGUAACGCGUGGGAAUCUACCCAUCCCUACGGAACAACUCCGGGAAACUGGAGCUAAUACCGUAUACGCCCUUCGGGGGAAAGAUUUAUCGGGGAUGGAUGAGCCCGCGUUGGAUUAGCUAGUUGGUGGGGUAAUGGCCUACCAAGGCGACGAUCCAUAGCUGGUCUGAGAGGAUGAUCAGCCACACUGGGACUGAGACACGGCCCAGACUCCUACGGGAGGCAGCAGUGGGGAAUAUUGGACAAUGGGCGAAAGCCUGAUCCAGCCAUGCCGCGUGAGUGAUGAAGGCCCUAGGGUUGUAAAGCUCUUUCAACGGUGAAGAUAAUGACGGUAACCGUAGAAGAAGCCCCGGCUAACUUCGUG
rnacentral:rRNA from 1 species